rnacentral:misc_RNA from 1 species
ACCCCGUCACGCCGCCGCCAGCGUCAGUGCAGUGGGGCCCGAUAACAGGACGUCAGUCAGUAGUGUGCGAGACACGCGCCGUGGUCCAUCGUUUCGCCCGCGCUUCAGGCGAACACUAUUCGAUCUCGAUUUAGUCGUGUAGUCGUAUAGAACAGCUACAGCGAAAUUCACACGGUGGCGAAGUUGCGUAGUUAUCUCACGAUAUUAGACGCAAAAACAAAUCGGUACCGCCGACAUCCGUCCCGGGCAGCCGCCUCCACAGCAGCAGCGGAAUGCCCGUCGGUCGUCUUUCAGCCAAGGAAAGUCGUCGUCGGUUCGCGGUGAAAACGCACACAGAGCCUGAGCAGGCCAGUUCGAUCGAUCGGUUUCACGACGACGACAGUAUUACCGUCGCGUCCGCGGCGAUGUAGUAUACACAAUACCUACCCGGUCGUCGGUCAGAUUUUCGUUUUACCACCCUGCCCAUACCCAUCNCCAUUACAGUCUUACNUCUUACCCCGUUUCCGAGCAAAUAAAAUUAAUACAGUCGGUGGAAAAAUAUCGAUUUUCGUUUGGCCGCUUUAAAUAAAGAAAACAACCGCGCGUAUAUUAAGUACAAUAUUACCUAAACGAAUUGUCGUGUCAUAUAUUGUAGGCGAUCGAAUUUGAAACGUCGUCCACGACGGCGGACACCACCAUCCGCCUCGCAAUGCACGCGAUGCUGGCCGUGUGGACGUUACUCGGCGUUGCCGCGUCGUCGGACCCGUGGCCGGCCGCCGCGUCCACCGUCGAUGAGACAGCCGACUCUUACACGACCGCGUACCUGAACGUGACCAGCUACGAUGUGGCCACGGGCGUCGUGGUCCAGACGGAAAAAUCGGAGAUCGGCAAGUUCGGCGAGUAUCACGUGGGAGCCGCGUCCGGGAUGCUGUUGCACGUGAUCGGCACGGACGGUGACCGAAACGGGUGCGCGCCACCCGUCCACGGCGUCCGAGAACCUCCGGACGCCGGGCCCUGGAUAGCGCUGGUGCGCAGGGGCAAGUGCAGUUUCCAGACCAAAGUGGAUAACGCGCGACGGGCCGGCGCCUCGGCCGUGAUCGUCUACAAUGACCGCGAAGCCACCGACCUCGACAAAAUGAAGCUACUGCCUUCCGACCCCAGAAAUGUCAGUGCAAUUUUCACGUAUAAAUGGAAAGGCGAGGACAUGGCUCGAAUGCUAGACGACAUGACCAGAAGGGUGAUGGUGAAAAUCACAAUUGCCAGUCAUUGCACCAGACCAUACGGUAACAUUAACAGGACUUCCGUAUUAUUUGUAAGCAUAUCAUUCAUAGUGCUUAUGGUCAUAUCUUUGGCAUGGCUUGUAUUCUACUACAUACAAAGGUUCCGGUAUAUACACGCUAAAGACCAAUUAUCGAGACGAUUAUGCAACGCAGCCAAAAAAGCGUUGUCCAAGAUACCUACCAAGCACAUCAAAAUGGAUGACAAGGAGAUCGUUGGUGAUGGGGACUGUUGUGCAGUGUGUAUUGAACCAUACAAACCGUCCGAGGUAGUUCGAAUACUACCAUGCCGACAUGAAUUCCACAAAAGCUGUGUAGAUCCUUGGCUGUUAGAGCACCGAACUUGCCCAAUGUGCAAAAUGGACAUACUAAAGCACUAUGGGUUCUUGUUCACAGGCAGUCAAGAGAGUUUCCUGCACGUGGAAGUCGAAGAGGUGACCAACGAUUUCGACGUGUACCAGUACGCACGUGGUCGAAGUUUCAUGGACACGGCGCAAAACUCGAGAACGAUACCGGACGUAGCUGCGGUGGCAGUGGCGGCAACGGUCGUGUGCGAGUCGCCCGACAGUAGGUCGUCGACGCCCGACGAACUGACGCCCGCGCUGGCUCAACGCAACGACGGCGGCGGCGGUGGCGGUGGCAGUCGUGGCGACGACCGUAUUACAGACGUCGCCACCAACUGCACAACGGUCGCCGCCGGCACCAACCGAUCGACGUCAUUCGAAGAGCAGCCUCCGGUUCACUCUGUUAGCGUACCUGCAACAGCUAAGUAGUCUGACGACGGCCGACGCACUCACAAUCGCGACUGUAUUUUAUUGAAUAACUAUAUAUUUGUUAUUUUUAUAAUAUACACCUCUUCCGCAAGAUCAUUUCCGGAUAGCUAGCGUGUGUUUGUGUGCGUGUGUGCGUGGCAUAUACCACAGGAAUCCAAAACAAUAAUCGACUCUGAUUGGUGGCACAGCCGACUAAGUCCACUGCGACAGACGCGUUCUUCAGAUGGUUUCUGAAACAUCAAAACGACAAUUCAGGACGGAUGUGAUACUAGCCAUUAAGAUGACUUAAACUUUGUAAUAGAAUGUAUCUUCUGUUCAAGUCUUAUUAUUAUAUUAUAGAGAUUAGGAUUAGGUACAAAAAAAAA